AUGCAGAACUUGGUUCUGUUUACAGUACACAUGCCUACAAGCCUAGUUGCUUCAGUUCGCUGGGAAUUACCUAGUCAGUCAGGCUCCUUUAGUUCUACAAAAUUAACAUAUACUGAGAUCUGUUCAAACUUCUUCUUAAAAAAUAGCUAUAUUAGACGGUUCCCAAAUUCAACAAAAGGUGGGUUCAGCCAUGCGUACUAUCAAAUACCUGACCACUUGAAUUUAAAGCAAGAUGACAGUUUUAUGUACGACCAAACAAGGGCGCAGGUGACAAGAUCUCUGCAAAAAUCAAGCCAUUCAAAUGCAUUUGAGAUCAAAAUACAUCAUGCAGGGACAAAUGGUAUUAGUUACGCUGUCGUUAUUCUACUUUGUUUCUUGAGCAGCGACUCAAUUAAUAUUCUCACUGAUCCAGUUUACUCAAGAACUUCUGAACCAGUUCCAGGACUCCUAUGGACUAAGGUACUCUAG
rnacentral:rRNA from 1 species